GUUGCCUGACAGAGGAUGGUGCUGAUGCUGCCCUGGUGCUGGCUCCCGGAUGGGCGGGUUUUAGUGUCCCAUCUUGCAGGUUCGGAACAAGGAGAUGAGGUCAAGGGAAGGAAAGCGCAUACGGGAAGCAGGGGAGAGCUCAGAGAAGAUAAACACUCAAGUGAAGCUGGCCUGUGAGGUGCCAUCAUGUGGCAACGGCCACAGCAGCUGGAGCAGGGAGACCUCCCCCAGCAAACUGCCUCCUGAGAAUUUGGACCCGGGGCUCCCAGAACCAGCAGUGGCUGUGUGACUGA